rnacentral:lncRNA from 1 species
CUGGCACACGUCACCAGGCCCGGAUAAUUUUUGUAUUUUUAGUAGAGAUGGGAUUUACCAUGUUGGUCAGGCUGGUCUCCAACUCCUGAUCUAGUGAUCUGCCCGCCUCCGCCUCCCGAAGUGUUUGGAUUACAGGUGUGAGCUACCGCACCUGGCAACAAGGACAUUUUUAUACAAGCUGAUCAGGCUGUGAAUUCCUGGUUGUAUGAGACGUGAAUUCCUGGUUGCUCCACUCCAUCUUUCCGGAGUGGAGACCCCAAAUUCUGUUGGGGAAAGUGUAC